GACGAACGCUGGCUGCGUGCUUAACACAUGCAAGUCGAACGGAAAGGCCCUGCUUUUGUGGGGUGCUCGAGUGGCGAACGGGUGAGUAACACGUGAGUAACCUGCCCUUGACUUUGGGAUAACUUCAGGAAACUGGGGCUAAUACCGGAUAGGAGCUCCUGCUGCAUGGUGGGGGUUGGAAAGUUUCGGCGGUUGGGGAUGGACUCGCGGCUUAUCAGCUUGUUGGUGGGGUAGUGGCUUACCAAGGCUUUGACGGGUAGCCGGCCUGAGAGGGUGACCGGGCAAAUUGGGACUGAGAUACGGCACAGACUCCUAAGGGAGGCAGAAGUAGGGAAUAUUGCACGAUGGGCGGAAGCAUGAUGCAGCAACGCCGCGUGAGGGAUGACGGCCUUCGGGUUGUAAACCGCUUUCGCAUGUGACGAAGCGUGAGUGAAGGUAAUGGGUAAAGAAGCACCGGCUAACUACGUG
rnacentral:rRNA from 1 species